AUGAAGGCAGCGGGAGAGAUUACCGCUUCUGAACAGGUAACGCCGAAGGAGUAAGCCUCCGGGUGAAUCUCUCAGGCAAAAGGACCGUUGCUGGACG
rnacentral:ncRNA from 2 species